CCUCUGUCUCCUCUCUAUCUAGAGGCAGUUAGUCCUUUGUCCUCCAUGGAAAAGUUUCUGGGAACCUGAUGUCAAAUGUCACCUGUGCAUACUUCCCUGAGAAGUGGAAUCUGGCUGCAGUGCAACACCAAGAGAAGCAGCAUCUGUAGGUAUCUGGAUCCUCCCUUGUCAGCAGCUCUAAGCACUGACUUGCAAUGGCUGCCUGCCUCAGUUUGCCUACCAUAUGGAUGCCCAAGCUGGUCUGUGGCAAGUCAGACAUCAAUGAGAGGAGAGGCCCUUGGACCUGUGAAUGCUCAUUGCCCCAGAUUAGGGGAAUGCCAGGACAGGGAAGCAGGAGUGUGUGCA